UCCCCCGGAUGGGUGAUUCUCGGGUUUGAUGGUGAUUCGCACUGGAUACAGCCAGUUUGCGAAUUUCUUCCGGGUUGAGGGAGUGACGGAGGGAUGAGCGAGGAUGUUGCUUGUGGUUGCUCCACGCAUCGAACUCCUCUCUCCCACCAAGACCCCGACUGAGGCUGCACGUCCGCCCGCAGAGACAGAUCCCACCGCAGAGCGCCGCUGCACUCAACUGAGGCGCCUCGCACGUUCGCUCUACAUUCUAAUGGAUGCCCUGGCCUUUUUAGCCUUUACAAGCCGAACCUCUGUCGUAUCAAUGCGCCCGUGAGCACGCAUUCUUCCGUUCUCCUGCAGGUUUUUGCGACGCCAGUAAAACGACCGUACUCUGCCCCAUCGUUAGCUCGCUAGGCUAGCUAGCCCGCUAGGCUGCGGUACUCCGGUCCUUAUCGUCGCUCUUGUGCCUGCGACACAUCGCUGGAUCGAGGCGGACUGUCACUACAGGGAGCAUGUUUGAGUGACAGACGUGGAAAAACGUGGGAUCUCUGCGGCUCCGUCCGCUCUGCUGGUGGAGACCCCAAUCACAGCUGACCAGAGACCCAUUAGUCACUUUCACAGAAUGCGCAGGUUUGCUUACUGCAAGGUGGUUUUGGCCACCUCGUUGGUGUGGGUGAUGCUGGACAUGUUCAUCCUGCUUUACUUUAGUGAGUGCAACAAGUGCGACGACAAGAAAGAGAGAGGCCUGCCUGGUAGAGACAGUAUUCUCACCAGGCAGCGGGAUGGCCCCGGUGAGGGGGGGAAGCCAGUGGUCAUCCCAAAGGAGAACCAGGAGAAAAUGAAGGAAAUGUUUAAGAUCAACCAGUUCAACCUAAUGGCGUCUGAGAUGAUUGCACUGAACCGUUCUCUUCCUGAUGUUCGCCUUGAAGGGUGCAAGAACAAGCUAUACCCUGAUAAUCUUCCCCGUACCAGUGUGGUGAUUGUAUUUCACAAUGAAGCCUGGAGCACACUACUGCGAACAGUCCACUCAGUCAUCGACCGCUCGCCCCACUCACUACUUGAAGAGAUUGUCCUGGUGGAUGAUGCCAGUGAGAGAGAUUUCCUGAAACGUCCAUUAGAGCAGUAUGUCAGAAGGUUGGAAGUCCGGGUCAGAGUGGUGCGGAUGGAGCAAAGGUCAGGAUUGAUUCGAGCUCGACUCAAGGGAGCCUCGCUCUCCACUGGUCAGGUGAUCACCUUUCUAGAUGCUCAUUGUGAAUGCACGAGUGGCUGGCUGGAGCCUCUGCUGUCCCGCAUCAAGCAGGACAAGAGAACUGUGGUGUGUCCCAUCAUCGAUGUGAUCAGUGAUGAUACGUUUGAGUACAUGGCGGGUUCAGACAUGACAUAUGGAGGCUUCAACUGGAAGCUUAACUUCCGCUGGUACCCAGUCCCACAGAGAGAGAUGGACCGACGCAAAGGAGACAGAACGCUACCUGUCAGGACUCCCACCAUGGCAGGCGGACUCUUCUCCAUAGACCGAGACUAUUUCCAGGAGAUUGGAACUUAUGAUGCCGGAAUGGACAUCUGGGGAGGAGAGAACCUGGAAAUCUCAUUUAGAAUUUGGCAGUGCGGUGGAACUCUGGAAAUUGUCACCUGUUCUCAUGUGGGUCAUGUCUUCCGAAAAGCAACGCCCUACACCUUCCCUGGAGGAACAGGGCAGAUCAUCAAUAAGAACAACCGUCGGCUGGCAGAAGUCUGGAUGGAUGAAUUUAAGAACUUCUUCUACAUCAUCUCCCCUGGUGUGACCAAAGUGGACUAUGGUGACAUCACGUCUCGCACAUCUCUCAGACAAAAGCUUCAAUGUAAGCCCUUCAGCUGGUACUUGGAGAACAUCUACCCAGACUCCCAGAUACCCAGACACUACUACUCUUUGGGAGAGAUCCGCAACGUGGAGACAAACCAGUGUCUGGAUAAUAUGGCCCGCAAAGAGAACGAGAAGGUUGGCAUCUUUAACUGCCACGGCAUGGGAGGCAACCAGGUUUUCUCCUACACCGCCAAUAAAGAAAUACGAACAGACGACUUGUGUUUAGACGUGUCCAAACUGAACGGACCAGUCAUGAUGCUCAAAUGCCAUCACCUAAAAGGCAACCAGCUGUGGGAGUAUGACCCGGUGAAAUUGACACUGAUCCACGUCAACAGUAACCAGUGUCUGGACAAGGCCAGCGAGGAGGACACUCAGAUGCCCAGUGUCAGAGACUGCACACACUCUCGUUCCCAACAGUGGCUACUGCGCAACGUCACACUUCCAGAAGUCUUCUGAUCAACAUCCCACUCUCUCACGAACACAAACACUUGCAUACACCUGCAAUCCAUGGUGGAAUGGACGUGUUAAAGAUGGGCACGGAACAGAGACUUCCCCGAGCAGGAGACUGGAAUGGAUGGUACUACCUCGCGACCGAUGGAGGAGUGUGUUUGAGCCUCAACGCCAGCAGAAAAGACUCGAGUGUGGAGUGGCAUUAGCUUUGUGAUUCAUCAAAACGAGAUUUACACAUUGAGGGAGCCUGUGGCGCUCAGCUUCCUUGGAUGAAAGCAGUCCACUGGUUGGCUCAUCGUGUUUACUGACUGCCUUGUCUGAGUGAUUGUGUGCAUUUGAUCAGUGUUUGAGUUUCCUCUGAGAUGAAUGUAUGCUGAGCUGUAUGCUUUUUUUUUUUUUUUUUUUUUUGUAAAAAUGUAUUUUUGGAAAUUAACUCUGGAUGAACUCCUAUGAAGAAGCAAGUGUGAAAGUGAGUGUGCAUGUGUGAGCCUUGUGGAGCCCCCGUCCCCCAUUAUGUCGUGCAGCAAUGUUUGUCUCUCCCUUGUGGUACAGUAUCUCUCAUUGCAUUUCAUUCCCUCCAGAUAGAAGCGGUCGCACUGAGGAAAUCCAUUUUAAAAAUGGAGCCGAGAGAAAUGUAUGUCGUCCCCAGAUAUACAGAUUUCUGUGUCAAACUUUAACAGGACUGUAUGAUGUUAGAUUCAGUGUGGUGCCAUGCAGUAGUUUGUCUCAAUGUGUUGUGUCUGAGGAUGUUUGACAUGGAGCUAAUGCACAGAACUCUGCAUAUGUUACUGAUCCUUACUGCCCCUUGUAGCGUCACUCCGCAGGGACUUGAGGCAGCUGAAAGACGUUUGAAGGUUAGACACAUCCAGACGACAGCAGUCGGAUCAUUUCAUCCAUUCUUCAUAUCUUGUAAAUGCAGUCCAAGGGCUUUUUUUCCCCAAAAAAUGUGUGAUUAUCUGCGGCCUCUGGCCAAAAUAUCAACAUUGAUUUUCAAUCUCUCAUAUUUAAGCCUGCUUCCUUCUGGCACACACAUCAUUUAGAACAAUCACCCUGGAGUCUGCGGGCGGCGAGGUGCCGCCACUGGGUGGGAAGCAUCGGUGCUGCUAUGGCUUCAGUUUAUCACCCGCGUUACAUAUGGAGAUUGUUGAUGAUGCUGCAGACAUUUGAAAUUCUGAGUUGGAAACUAAGAGACAAACCAGGUUCCUGCGACUGAAGAGAUGAAUUUAUGAUUUAGCUGUCUCUAAGUGAACAGCAACAUCUUCCCUUGGUGGGCGUGGCCUUCUCAACAGAAAUCAUGACAGACAUUUAUGACCAAAGUGAAAUUCAUUUUUAGGUAUUUCCCCCAAAUAUAAUACAUGGAGCGUAUAUAACAAUAAUCAAUUCAUGUCAUAUAGUACAUCCCAAUGUUGUUUUUCUAGGUUAGAGUUGGUGGAUAGUUGCGAUAGCCAAUCAAAGUUGAGGACGUGACUCGUGCGUGUUCUGUGAUUGGAUACUCAUACAGUAAGUUCCGGACUGGCCGCUACUGGUUUUUUUCCUCGUUCUCUGAAUCAUGUGACUUAAACAGAAACGCAUUUUUAUGGGCAAACAAGCUCCCGACCAAUGACCUCACGGCUUUUCAGUGACAUUCUAGCGCUUAUCGUGCUGUUCUCCGGCCCCUGCAGUUUCCCGGCGUCGACAGCCGCAGGGUUAGCCCCUGGCAUUGGAAUAACUCCACACUAGAGCCAGCGUGUUCUUCACCUCAUGGGAUUGAGCGGCCAGCUGGUCUGGACUGGUGUCGGGACUGCAGAAUUUGGGCUCAUCAACAUGGCACUGUAGAUGUUGGCUGCUACCACCAGCAUGCAGAGCACAAUGGGGCCAAUGAUGGCGCCCUCCAGGCCCAGAUAGUAAGCUCCACCUGCCACCGCCAGCCCUGUCAGGUUUGGAUCGUGGCGUUUUCCAACCGUUCUUCUCUUCUUCUUCCAACUCAUUAUUCAAAGCAGAAACAUCCAGAGAACCCAACACCAGAGUGUCAGCGACGCUUGUUGUGCUCACCCUGAGAUGUCAGAGUAGAUGGCCGUGUCAACAAAGUAUGUCGGGAGAAGAUGGCAGAUGAGCAGCAGCACAGCCUUGACUCCUUCACCCUGAGCUAGCCACAGGUCGCACACUGCUGGCACCGCAGCCCAGUACGUUCCUAAAAAUGGCACCGCACCCAAGAUGGCUGCCAGUGCUGAGAGAACAGCCAGCCUUUAAUGGUCGAGGCCAGAAUUGAUUUCAUGAGAUGCAACACGGUGUUCACCUGAUGGAAUAAAGACGAUGUUGAUGCCGAAUAUGGUGUGAGUGAGCCAAGUGUAGAGUCCGUAGAAGCCCGCCAUCUUCAGCGAGGCGUCGAACACUCCCCUGAUGGCUUCCUCCACAGACUGACUGAUGAUGUUUGAAGAAGGUCCCGGCUGAGACAGAGGGGUCAAGCUCAGGAACCAUUUGACAGGCUUGUAGUACUCUCCGCUGGAGCUGAGCAGGUAGAAGAGCGUGAAUUUAAAAUGCUAUCGUACCAGACUGAGGACAAAAUUGAGGAGCGCAGUUCCGCUGUGAAACACGACUGUCAGGAGAGUUGUUGUCGUGGAGAUGAGAAGCCCAACGUUUCGACUCAUCACCACCCAGAGAGACUCCAGGAUCUUAAAAAGGGAAGAGACAGAAGGAAGGACACCACGUCUUUCCAGUCCAGGAUGUCCACUAACCAGCUGUUCUGUCUCUGAAAGAACUUCUGACCACGAUGGCGUCCGCUGUGAGUCGUGUUCUGGAAGCCCAGUUCAAAGUUCAUAAACGUCAACGAAACCCAACAACGGCUACCGAACUUCAGCUACCUUGACAAACCAGGAAUGAUAAAGUCGAUCCCAGAGCUCCAGAACUUGUUUCUCGAUGACAGCCGUAUUGUUCACCUUGUCUCCUAACAUCUUAUGCAGCUGUGGCGACAACAAACAUGUCAAUAUAUCUGCCACUGACUCACACACACUUAUUUGACUCUCUCACUUUUUGUGUAAUCCACUCCCUCCCGUGUUGAUAGACAUUAUUGGCGGCUGAAUUCAAAGCCUUCUGGACCACACGAGCUUCUGGAAGCAAACUGAAAGAGUCAGAGAUGGAAUGACAAAGCUCAGUCAUUCCCAACAACAUUUUAAAAGGCCUAAAAUAUUCACUUGGCCCAUUCUGGAUGUUUGUAAACGGUCUCAUUGAUGAGGUUGCUUGUCACAUCAAUGACGUGAGCACUUUCGUGAUGGACCUAGAACAGAGAAGCUCAUGAGUUAGAUGUUUGUGUGCUGAUCUGGCAUCACCAUCAGAAGUACCAUGGCUGUGAGCAGCAGAGCCAUGAGCAAUGUCCCGGUGACCAACAGGAAGAUGAUGAAGAUGCUGAUGAUUUUAUCCAGAGACCGUUCCAACCACACCACCAUCUACCGGAGGGAAGAAUGAGGUUAGCCUGGAGAAAACCCUCUCAUACAUCUCUCAUACAACAGGGAUGCUCCGAUCAGGAUUUUUGCUGCUGAUCACCGAUGCUGAUCACAUGGAUUGACAAUGAAUUUGUAAUCAAAAUGAUGACACGUGGGGUCCAUGAUGUGAAACAAUGAACAUUGAAUCAUUUUAAUUCAGACACGUUUUUAUAUCCCUCUCCAUGGUGGCAAAGAAUAGAAAAACCUUGCUGAAUGCAGCAGCUAUUCUGUCAAAAGGACUGAAGUGAAAAACAUUUAAUUCGAUGUGAGGCGUCGCAGGUGAGUCUUUAGAGACUGUGCUGUGUCCGUGAAAUACAUAGUGCACUGCAUUUCUGAAAGUUUCCACUCCAGAUGUUUUUAACAGUUUCACAUUCAGGUGGCUGACGAACGCUGCACCUGACUCAAAAAAGGCACGGAUCUGGUCGUUUCCGUCUCCGCGUUAAGAACACCUGAGAAAGGCUGCUCAUCUAGCGCCGGGAAAUUAAGAAUUCUUUCUUAUCAUUCCGAAUGUCACGCUCGGACCGACGGGUGUUGCUAAGCGUCAGCUGCUGCUGAGGAACCAGCGGUCUCACUUUCACAAGUCCGGAAAACUGUCCGUGCUCCGUCAAGUGCUGGCGCUUUAAAUGGAGUGUUUAAUUUGAAGGCGCUUCUCUGCACAGCAUUGUCCUGUGCAUGUGCUGCAGGAUGCAAACUUUACAUGACAGAUUGAAAGAAGCUCCACAGCAGACGUGCUGCUGAAUUAACAAACAAAUAAAAAGCCAACACGGAUAAAAGUGGAUGUUCCAGUCUCUUCUGCCAGCAUUCUCCUCAAGCUUGUGUCAACAUGCAGCCUAAACUCGUGCAAAGGUUCAAGUAGAGAAUAGGCUUUUUUGCCGCGCUCUCAGGUGAGACUUAAAUCAUUACCUGCUUGUUAAGCCAAUGCCAGAGCUUGUAGGAGGGACAGAGAGACACGAGGAGCAUUGUUAUUGGACACAUCUUCACAGCAGUUAAGACAUGACCCCGUGCAGUGAGAACACAAUGGAAGCAGGAUGAGGAAAAGUCUGCAGGCAGGAAGCGAGAUUAGCGGGUGACGCUACACUGAGCUAAUCCUAGUUCAGGCCAAGGCAU